UGGGGAAUUUUGCACAAUGGGGGAAACCCUGAUGCAGCGACGCCGCGUGAUUUAGAAGGCCUUCGGGAUGUAAAAAUCUUUUCUAUGGGAAGAAAAUGACAGUACCAUAGGAAUAAGGACCGGCUAAUUACGUGCCAGCAGCCGCGGUAAUACGUAAGGUCCGAGCGUUGUCCGGAAUCAUUGGGCGUAAAGGGUACGUAGGCGGGUAAGCAAGUUAGAAGUGAAAUCCUAUAGCUCAACUAUAGUAAGCUUUUAAAACUGCUCAUCUUGAGGUAUGGAAGGGAAAGUGGAAUUCCUAGUGUAGCGGUGAAAUGCGCAGAUAUUAGGAGGAAUACCGGUGGCGAAGGCGACUUUCUGGCCAUAACCUGACGCUGAGGUACGAAAGCGUGGGUAGCAAACAGG
rnacentral:rRNA from 1 species